AUUGAACGCUGGCGGCAGGCCUAACACAUGCAAGUCGAACGAGUGGCGGACGGGUGAGUAAUGUCUGGGAAACUGCCCGAUGGAGGGGGAUAACUACUGGAAACGGUAGCUAAUACCGCAUACCAAUCGGUGGGCCCAGAGGGGAUUAGGUAGUAGGUGGGGGAACGGCUCACCUUGGCGACGAUCCCUAGCUGGUCUGAGAGGAUGACCAGCCACACUGGAACUGAGACACGGUCCAGACUCCUACGGGAGGCAGCAGUGGGGAAUAUUGCACAAUGGGCGCAAGCCUGAUGCAGCCAUGCCGCGUGUAUGAAGAAGGCCUUCGGGUUGUAAAGUACUUUCAGCGAGGAGGCGUUACUCGCAGAAGAAGCACCGGCUAACUCCGUGCCAGCCGCCGCGGUAAUAC
rnacentral:rRNA from 1 species